rnacentral:rRNA from 1 species
UACGUAGGGGGCGAGCGUUGUCCGGAAUCAUUGGGCGUAAAGCGCGUGUAGGCGGCCCGGUAAGUCCGCUGUGAAAGUCCAGGGCUCAACCCUGGGAUGCCGGUGGAUACUGUCGGGCUCGAGUCCGGAAGAGGCGAGUGGAAUUCCUGGUGUAGCGGUGAAAUGCGCAGGUAUCAGGAGGAACACCAAUGGCGAAGGCAGCUCGCUGGGACGUGACUGACGCUGAGACGCGAAAGCGUGGGGAGCAAACAGG